rnacentral:rRNA from 1 species
UACGAAGGGGGGCUAGCGUUGCUCGGAAUGACUGGGCGUAAAGGGCGCGUAGGCGGCGCAGUUAGUCAGGCGUGAAAUUCCUGGGCUCAACCUGGGGACUGCGCUUGAUACGGCUGUGCUUGAGGAUGGAAGAGGCUCGCGGAAUUCCCAGUGUAGAGGUGAAAAUUCGUAGAUAUUGGGAAGAACACCGGUGGCGAAGGCGGCGAGCUGGUCCAUUACUGACGCUGAGGCGCGACAGCGUGGGGGAGCAAACAGG